rfam:Oryza barthii chromosome 12, whole genome shotgun sequence.
AAAAAGAUAAAUCCUGGGUUUCCGUGUCCAAUGUUUGACUGUUCGUUUUAUAUGAAAUUUUUUUAUAAUUAGUAUUUUCAUUGUUGUUAGAUGAUAAAACAUGAUUAAUAUUUUAUGCGUGACUUAUCUUUUUAAUUUUUUUCAUAAUUUUUUUAAAUAAGACGGACGGUCAAACAUUGAUACGGAAAUGUCCCAUUUAAG